rnacentral:tRNA from 1 species
GGUAUAGUGGCCGAGUAUUAGGUGGCGAGUUGUAGCCUCGUUUACUGGGGGGCCGGACCCCCACGAUACCAAGUC